CUCCAGGCUGCUUACAUCAAUAGCUUACACGUGCUUCCUGAUGCCUGCCUUAACAACAAAAAAUUCGUGUCCAUAGGUGAGUAUUAGGGUAUGUUCAUUGUAUCUCAAUGAAACUAGUUUUUAAAGUUUUCAAUGCAUUUGUUUGAGAUCAAUUAAUAUUUGGAUACCUAUCAUGACCCAGGAUAUUUCUUUGUUCAGCAAAUAUUUAUUGCAUGCCCACUCUGGGCUAGGCACUGUUUUAGAGGACACCGCAGCUAUCAAGGCAGAUGUGGUCCCUGUUCCCAUGAGGCUCCUACAUUUGAGUGGAGGAAGAUGUACUUGUCUACGUUGGGUGAUGAUUAGUGCCAUGAAGAACAAAACGGAUACAGUGAGUAAUGUGGACAGGGCUAUCUUAGCUAUCACUCUAAUAAGGUGAUAUCUGAGGAGAGAUCUGAAUGAAGUGAGGAUACAAUGGAUAUCCAAGGAAAAGAGCAUUCCAGCAAAGGAAAAAACACAUGCAGAGACCCUGAAGGAGAAGCAGGGUCACUUUGUCAAAGGGACAGCAAGGAAGCCAAUGACCGGGUGAAAUGAGUGAAGAGAGCGUUCAGAGAGGACAGCCAAAAGCUCUGUGGGCCACGGCAGGACUUUGUCCCUUGCUGAGCAAGAUGGGAAGCCACUGAAUGUUUGCGGGCAGGGUAGUGACAUGCUGUGACUUAUGUUUAAAAGGAUUACUCCUUCAUAGCGAUGAAGAAAAGCUCUAUAACAAAAGUUCCGUUGUGGUGGUUAUACAGCAUUGUGAAUGUACUUAAUGCCAAUGAAUUGUGUACUUUAAAAUGGUAAAUUUUAUGUUAUAUAUGUUUUACCACAAUAAAAAUAAUUUUUUUAAA
rnacentral:lncRNA from 1 species